rnacentral:lncRNA from 10 species
CCUGAACCAGUCCUCUGAAAGUGGCUGCUGGGAAAGCCACGGCAAAGAAAAGCAGGAUGCACUUAGGGAGCCUGAGAAUCUGGCCCCAGAACUGGAGGAAGUCCAAAUCCAGAUCUCCUGGAGAGCAAGGAAUGCACACCCUCUGUAUGAGAGAUUUCAAUUAAUAGGCCAUGGACCUCAGCUUACUAGAGUUGCAUUUUAUGUGGCAGAGAGAGAGAGAGAAAAAGAGAGAGAGAGAGAAAGAGAGAAAGUAUGUGAGUAAAUAAAUUACUUGCAAUGUAUACAAAUCUACAUUAUUCAUAUAAAAAUCUAGAUUUCUAGCUUCUGUUUUAAAAAAUCUGAUGAUAAUGCAGAGACUGCCUUUACACGUGACUGCAUUACCUGGGAGAUAUCUAAGGUCAAAAUCUGCUGCAUCGGUGCCUGGAGAAUGCUUGGUGGUGACGACUUGAUCAAUAUCUCCAAGACACUGGCUCCUAGCAACAUUUUGAAUUAACUUGGCUUUAAAUGUUCCAGCUCCCUUUGCUCAGGAAAGCUCAUGAAAAAGAAACACUAAAAUUAAGGCUAAUGAUUAUAGAGAAAAAACAUGUAGUACACCUCACAGAUAAUACAUGAGACUAGCUUCAUCUUCCUUCUGUAACACGUUUAUGAUGAACAGAACACAACCUUUUUCUGGAUGGCAUUUUCAGCUGAUGUGUCACAGCAUGAAAGGGUCUAAAGAUUACAUGUACUUCCCAUUCUUAGCUUGUUAUAAGGCAGGAGGAACAGAGGAUGAGGGAUUUUGUGGCUGUGAUUUUUACAUGAAGAGCAGGGAUGGGUGUUAGGUCCCUAGCCUGAUAUUUAAAUCUAAGAUUACCUGGAAACUAAGCAGGAGAAAGAAAAAAGCAGGCUAUAUUAUAAGCACAGCCAAUAUCAAAUAAACUUUGAAAGACUUCUCUGGAAAUGCUGUUAAAAUUCAGCUCAAACCUUUAUUUGUUUAUUUGUUUGAUUUUUCCCUGAGACGGAGGCUACAAGAAGCAGAAAAGCAAAUACCCUAUGUGAUGCUUGUAUUUGAGAACUACAGAGAGAGGUUAACUGAUGAAGUUCAAGUGUCAAGGAGAAUACCCACUUUGAGCCACUUCAGAUCUUGGGAGGUGCCAAUCUUCCUGGGUCCUGAUAUUAAAGUCCUCAGAGUAUGCAGCUAGGUCCAGUUGGCAGGAUAGAGCAUCAAAUGACAUUUGGAAGACUGGUCUAAUCUGAUAAACAAUUAAAUCACAUUCCCCUGAAAUUUGCCUUUCCAAAUAUUGUCUGUACUGAAGUCAAGAUAAGAAGUCAAAUUGUGAAAAUGUAUUGGUUUAAAAAUGAAAUGGCCUCUGAUAUGCAUUGAAGCAAUGCCUCUGUUCAUUGAGUCACCUUUCUAGAAUUCUCUAAGUGUCACCUGCAACCUCUUUUUUUCUCUUUAAACCACCUGCUUUCACAUUCACCCACUCUACUUCCUACCUGUCUUUUCUAUUUAUUGACUCACUAGAAUUAGUCACUCAUUUUGGUGCUAUUUCUGCUCCAGGGUUACCCAAGUUAAUAUGUAUGUAACUGUGGCUUACUUGUAGUUCUUUGAAGUCAGAUAAAUCAGAGGCAAAUGCAGAACCAAAGAAGUGAGGGGACUGAUAAGGAGAC